UACAGAGGUCUCAAGCGUUGUUCGGAAUCACUGGGCGUAAAGGGUGCGUAGGCCGCACGGUAAGUCAGAGGUGAAAUCCCGGAGCUCAACUCCAGAACUGCCUUCGAUACUGGCAACCUGGAGGCUGGAAGAGGUUAGUGGAAUUCCCAGUGUAGAGGUGAAAUUCGUAGAUAUUGGGAAGAACACCAGUGGCGAAAGCGGUUCUCUGGAUCGAUACUGACGCUGAGACGCGAAAGCGUGGGGAGCAAACAGG
rnacentral:rRNA from 1 species